AUAUCUAAAUUUGUCUGGCAGGGCAAAAAGCCCAGAAUAAAAUUUAAGAAUCUAACUGAUGCUAAAGAUAGAGGGGGGUUUGCCCUGCCGGACUUAAGACUCUACUAUGAAUCGGCGGCUUUCUGCUGGUUGAAACAGUGGCUACUUCUUGAGAAUACAGAUAUUUUGGAUCUAGAAGGGUUUGAUAAUAGAUUUGGUUGGCAUGCAUAUAUAUGGUAUGAUAAGGUAAAACAGCAUAAAGGUUUCAAAAACCAUAUUGUUAGGAAAGCAUUAUACAAUGUUUGGAUGCGGUAUAAAGAUCUAUUGGAAAGUAAAACUCCCAGGUGGUUGUCACCAAUGGAAGCUAAAGAGGUGAAAAAACUUAAUAUGGAGUCUAAAUGGCCAAAAUAUUGUGAAAUUCUAGAACAAGAUGGGGAAAAAGUUAAAUUACAGAGCUAUGAGAAAUUAAAGUCCAAAGUGCGAGAUUGGUUGCACUACCUUCAGAUAAACGAGACAUUUAAACAGGACAGGAAAAUAGGUUUCCAGAUGGAGAGGUCAAAAUUGGAAACAGAACUGUUAGAACCCAAUACUAAGAAUCUGUCGAGAAUGUAUAAUCUGCUGUUGAAAUGGAAUACACAGGAUGAAACGGUGAAAUCAGCUAUGAUAAAAUGGGCACAAGAUAUCGGUCAUAACAUUAUGUUUGCUGACUGGGAACAGUUGUGGACCACCGGUAUUAAAUUUACGGCAUGUAAUGCCUUAAGAGAAAACAUUAUGAAAAUGAUGUAUAGGUGGUACAUGACCCCAGUCAAGCUUGCAAAAAUUUAUCAUUUGCCCAAUAACAAAUGUUGGAAAUGUAAUGAGACUGAAGGUACUUUUUAUCACCUUUGGUGGACCUGCCCGAGGAUAAAAGCUUUUUGGGAAAUGAUCUAUAAUGAAAUUAAGAAGGUUCUUAAAUGGACCUUCCCUAAAAAACCAGAGGCUUUUCUCUUGGGCAUUGUCGGCCAAUUGGUGAGAAGGAAGGACAGGACGUUUUUUAUGUAUGCGACAACAGCAGCAAGGAUUCUUCUAGCAAAGUAUUGGAAGACACAACAACUACCCACACUGGAAGAAUGGCAGACGAAGGUGAUCGACUAUAUGGGACUGGCCGAAUUGACUGGCAGAAUCCGUGACCAGGGGAAAGAGACAGUGGAAGAAGAUUGGAAGAAAUUUAAAGUUUAUCUUAGAACUUGUUGUAAAAUUCAGGAAUGUUAAAAUGUCAAGGGGUUGGGAAACAGAGAACUGCAGCUGUAAUUAAUAAUAUUAGAAGAACUUAAAAGAAAUUGAAUUGAAUAAUUAGUUGAUUGAGGAGUUGCUGAAGAAAUAUAAAACAAGGAUGCAGAAAAGGGGAGGUAUGGGGAAGUCCGGAAAGUAAGGUUUAUGAAAAAUGGCUAUGAAAUUAUACAUGUUUAUAUGUUUGUAUGUCGGUGUUUUGUGCAUUGUUUGCUUUCUUAUCUUAUGUUUGGAAAAUUAAUAAAAAUUUAUU
rnacentral:lncRNA from 1 species